ensembl:lncRNA
GUUGUUUAGUCAAGGAUUCGUGAAGCUUUCUCAAAUGUUCACAGCACAGUAGGGUACACAGCAGAUGCCAGCAUCCAUCUUCAUUUACUGAUGAGACUGAACUCUAAGGGGUCAGAGAAUGUCUGAGAUCACAAAGGCAGUAAGCACGCAGCUGGCCAGGUCAUUGGGUUCCUGGCCAGUGCUCUUUCUACCAUCAUGCAUUAUUGCAUGCUGCCCUUUCACUCACGUGGGCACCAGGAGACCUUUUUCUGACCAUACAGAUCUGUGAGUUCCAUCAGAGCCUCCCCAAAGCUAAGUGUUUGUAGGUGUCAUUAUUAUAUCACGGUCAGUUAGGGAGCUCUUCAAAAUAUGAUGCUUACCAUAAAGUCAUUUACUUGCAGAUGUCUCCUUCUAUGACCAAAAGUUUCAGUGCUCUGAGGAGCAUUCUAGCUUUGAAAUACUUUAUUGAACCAGCUUCUAUCAACAUUAUGAAGAUCACCCAAAGUUCCAUUCUUGCAACAAAGGUGACCAGAUAUUACUCCAAGGGACAAUAAUGGAGAACUCCACGGCCAAAAUGCUUAGAAGGAAAUCAAGCGAAUCCAGAAGAGAAUAAAGAGAGUGUAAAAGGAAAACUGAGAAUACAAAGAUUUUCCAGACCCUUCUAAAAACCUUGAAAAACCACAGUGCUUUGCAAAAUAUCACAUUCAAUUGUCAGUUAAAAAAAAUUCUGUUAGAAGUGCCCUCAGUGCACCAAAGGGUGGGGAGGAGCCGCUGACUGGCCUCCAGAGCUGCACCCAGGGGUGGGGAUUAGGGCCAGGGCCUUGAGGCACAGUCCUUUCUGAUAUGGUGGAAAGGUGUUAAGAGAAUUUUUUUUUUUUGUCUCCCCAAAGCCCCAGUACGUAGUCGUAUAUUCUAGUUGUAAGUGCUUCUAGUUCUUCUGUGUGAGCCACCAACACAUCGUGGCUCCUGAUGGAUGAGUGGAGUAGUUCCACGACCAGGAACUGAACCUGGGCUGCCGAACUUUGAUCACUAGGCCAUCAGGGCUGGCUCAAGAGAAUCUUUUUUAUCAUUAACCUUUCUCACCUUUCUUGAGGCACCAGGAGACCAUCUGGGGUGCUGAGUUAGGUUUGGUUAGUUGGGUCAGCUUUCCCUCAGAGGCCGAGCCUCUGCUCAGUGUCAAGGAAUGACAUGAAGAUGCUAAUUGAGAAGCAAAGGGAAGAAAGAGCCCCCAUUAGGCAAGGCUACGUACCCUGGGAUCCCCGAGGAGCCUCCCAACAUGGAGCAGACUGAAUCCACAUCGUGCCUGUUAUCUGGGUGCUCACCUGUGAUCUCAAUUAGAACAAAAUCGAGAAUAGCUGUGAACUGUUUACAGCAUAACAUGAGAAUAUGGCAUCACAUUUAAAAUUUGAAAACACCAUUUUAGUAGGUUUUAACUAUAGUUCUCUCUGUUCUUUUCCAAAAGCACGGGUCUUGUCAAGAUCUUGUAUUGCAUGAAGAAGGUGUUAGGUACUACCUUUAGAUAGAAUUUAGUAUUUUUCAAAUUGCAAAUUGCAACCCUUUAGAGAUGGAUAAAAUCAACUUGGUAAGUUGCCGACAGCAUUUAAAAAGAAGAACUCGACUCCAACGGCAGGUCUGGUUUCAAGCUUUGCAGCGGG